rnacentral:rRNA from 1 species
AGGACGAACGCUGGCGGCGUGCUUAACACAUGCAAGUGGAGCGACGAACCAGGGCUUGCCCUGGGGCAGAGCCGCGAACGGGUGAGUAACACGUGGGUUACCUGCCUCGAUGACCGGGACAACCCGAGGAAACUCGGGCUAAUACCGGAUGUGCCCGCAAGGGGAAAGGAAGCUUCGGCCUCCGCAUCGAGAUGGGCCCGCGGCCCAUUAGCUUGUUGGUGAGGUAACGGCUCACCAAGGCUUCGAUGGGUAGCUGGUCUGAGAGGACGAUCAGCCACACUGGGACUGAGACACGGCCCAGACUCCUACGGGAGGCAGCAGUGGGGAAUCUUGCGCAAUGCGCGAAAGCGUGACGCAGCAACGCCGCGUGGGGGAAGAAGGCUUUCGGGUUGUAAACCCCUUUCAGUUGGGACGAAGCUUCUCCGGUGAAUAGCCGGACGGAGUGACGGUACCUUCACAAGAAGCACCGGCUAACUACGUGCCAGCAGCCGC